GUGAGGAAUAUUGGUCAAUGGGCGAGAGCCUGAACCAGCCAAGUCGCGUGAAGUAAGAAGGAUCUAUGGUUCGUAAACUUCUUUUGCAGGGGAAUAAAGUGCGGGACGUGUCCUGUUUUGUAUGUACCCUGAGAAUAAGGAUCGGCUAACUCCGUGCCAGCAGCCGCGGUAAUACGGAGGAGCCGAGCGUUAUCCGGAUUUAUUGGUUUUAAAGGGUGCGUAGAUGGUUUGAUAAGUCAGCGGUGAAAGUUUGCAGCUUAACUGUAAAACUGCCGUUGAAACUGUCGGACUUGAGUGUAAAUGAGGUAGGCGGAAUGCGUGGUGUAGCGGUGAAAUGCAUAGAUAUCACGCAGAACUCCGAUUGCGAAGGCAGCUUACUAAGCUACAACUGACACUGAAGCACGAAAGCGUGGGGAUCAAACAGGAUUAGAAACCCGGGUAGUCC
rnacentral:rRNA from 1 species